rnacentral:rRNA from 1 species
GACGAAGGAUGCAAGCGUUAUCCGGAUUCAUUGGGUUUAAAGGGAGCGUAGGUGGCCUUAUAAGUCAGUGGUGAAAUCUCUCGGCUUAACCGAGAAAUUGCCAUUGAUACUGUAGGGCUUGAGUACAGUUGCUGUGGGCGGAAUAUGACAUGUAGUGGUGAAAUACAUAGAGAUGUCAUAGAACACCGAUUGCGAAGGCAGCUCACAAAACUGUAACUGACACUGAGGCUCGAAGUGCGGGGAUCAAACAGG